rnacentral:lncRNA from 1 species
UUUCAGCAAAAUGAAGAAAAGGAAGAAGUUGGAGUGACUCCCUAAGCAAAACAACUGCUUAAAGAUUAAAGACGCACAGAGCACUUCUCCUGAAGGGCAGUCAACCAGAAUUCUGGAGUCAAAAGCAAGCAGCUGAAGAAUCUAGAAGGCUGAGGAACAUACGGCUGAAGGAGUUUCAUAGAAACAGAACAAAGUCCAAGUGUGCUGGUGGAAACAUAGACAGACUAAAGAAAAGCAGGGAAGCCUCUGCCAUGCAUCUCAGACAUUAACAGAUGACAUUCACAGCUUUUGGCAGGAAAUUUUUGCACCUUGCAGUACACAGAAACUGAGUGGAGGGGCCUGAGGAAAGGUGUCAGCCAUUUGCCACACUGUCAUACAGGAACCAGGCUACAUACUUCUGAUUCUCUGCACUGUCACAUUCAUGGUGGUAACAUAGUACUGGUACUGUUUCCUUCAGAAAAACUUCUGUGAUUGUUGAAAUAAAGUCAAGAAGCUAUUCAUUGAGCCUAAAGAAGCCACAUCUGUCUACCAACAAUGUUGCAGAGAACAGCAAGUAAAACAGAGAUGCCAGAGACUUUCAAUGAUAGUAACAGGUCUUUCCAGUCAUAGGUAACCCAUGUAUGCAGUUUGUCUUGCCCAGUGCAGGGAUCUAAAGCUUCCUCAGCACUAUGAGUGCAAGAGAUAUGCAAACAACCGAGAUUGGAGCUGUUCACCUGUGUCUACAUUACAGGGCAGAGAGUCAAACUCAGAGUCUCACAAAGGAGAACAAGACUGUGAAUACUGUAUUCUCAUGAGAAGAACAAUCCGGAGUCUGAACAAACAGUCCCUCGCAGAGGAUAAAGCUUGAGAGUGACAAGAUGCCGACAGAUUAUGACAGCUGCUGUGCUGCCUGACCUGGAACAUUUAUGCAGUUUCUAAAAGUGCAUAGGAAGCACAUUUUAUCAUCGCAUCCAGGGCAUCAACCUUAUAUUUUGAGGUGUUCAUUACCCACAAUCCCAUGGGCUCUGGGAAGACAUCAAAACUGGAGUUCAUUAGUUAACAUUUUAAAAGGACACGAUUUGAAGAUGCUCCCCCCAGGUGCCCUGAUUUCAGCAAAUUUUGCUUCAUAUGCCAAGUGCUGAAAACAGCUAACACCACUAUUAUUAUCCACAAGGAAAUCCACCCACCACGCGGACCUGUGCCAAGGAACCAGUCUGAAAUGCUGACAGCAUCGCAAGGCUUUCCAACUGCAGGGACACGGAAGCAGCUGCGGUUUUCCUCACCAACGCAGAUGGCAAAAAGGGAGUGUGUUUGUUGGUACUCAAGAGGGUGGUUACAGGAUGGGAAAGCCGGAAAGAACUUCUGCAGAUGUACCCAGCCAUGCAGCAGUUAGUUCCAAAUACUAGUUACUUGCCUCUCACAUCUCCCACCUGCUCCUUGUCUGAUUGCUCGUUCUCGAAUCCUUCAGUUACCAUCUACCCAAUGAUCCAUGCUGUAAAACUGCAAAAUUUGGAUUUUCCUGUCCACUGUCCAUCAGAGUGAGAAAACUUCAACUCCAUCCUUCACCUCUGGCUCACACCUAUACUCCCCUGCCCUCACAUUUCUCUAGAUGCCUGCUGGAGGGUUUCCUUAGGUUUGUGUUUGAUCUUAAUGAAUUAUUAAGACAGUAUUCUAUCUUUAGUAAUGAUGUGAUGAUGUGUUAGAGAGACUUGAUGUUGGAAAACCCAAACCAUUAAUUUAGAAAAUAAAAAAUAAAA